rnacentral:rRNA from 1 species
GGGUCAGCAGGUUGGUCAUGCCACUGGUAUGUACUGGUCUCACUGAUUCCUCCUUCCUGAUGAACUGUAAUGCCAUUAAUUUGGUGUUGCAGGGAAUCUGGACUGUUACUUUGAAAAAAUCGGAGUGUUUAAAGCAGGCAUAUGCUUGAAUACAUUAGCAUGGAAUAAUGAAAUAGGACGUUCGAUCCUAUUUUGUUGGUUUCUAGGAUUGACGUA